rnacentral:misc_RNA from 1 species
UGGCCGUGCCCGAGGAAGUGA